rnacentral:lncRNA from 10 species
GCGUGUUUUGUGCUCAUGUAGGGGGUUGGGGAGUGUUCCAGCCAGCCUCUGUGCACCUGGGGUGGGGGUGGAAUGAGGAGGGGGUUGUUGUGAGCCUGAGGGUCGCACUGUCUGUGGUUCUCUCCUUCCUGUCAGCUGAGCCCAGCUCCAGACUCAAGAGGAACGGCUGGGGUGAUACCAUCUCCUGGUUUCUGCGGGGGUGUAUGUGAGUUCCCUCCCCCUGCCCCCAGCUGUGGGACUGUCCCUUCUCACAGCCACCACCAACUGACUUCCCCACAGCCUCCAGAUGAGCAAAAAGGUAAAACUCCGGCAUUUUCCACAUCCUCAGCAUCCUCCACCUCCUCAGCUGUUCGCACCCGUGCUGGGAUGCAGCGAAUAGCGUGAGUCAAGAGAAUCCCCUCACUCAGACACCCAGGUUCGGGUCCCAACUUUGUCGCCGUGUGACCUUGGGCAAAUGACCUCACCUCUGAGCCUCAACGUCUUCUUCUGCAAAAUGGGUUAGUGAUCCUGACUAUGGGGCUGUUGAUUCAGGAUUCGGCGGGAACGCCCAGCACUUCCUGAGUACACAAGAGUGCUGAGAAAAUGGUAGCUGUUUUUUGCGAUUACUGACUCGGGGCCCGACCAGCUCUGGCACGACUCAGCGGAGGUGGGAGUCCUGCGGGUCCCAUCCCUGCCUCCCGGAGAGCCAGACCCCAGC